GGUACUUCGAGAAGAAGCACGCGCAAGGAAUAAAUUAGAAGAUUAAGAAUAAAUUCCAUCCCAACCGUGCAACGUACACCGAUAGUUUUUGCGUCACUGCAACUAUACGUAUUAUCAGAGUUGUGGAGCAAAAGGUCUAAGAAACAACGAUUCUCUGCUUUUACAAGCACUCAGUUCACAGCUCCAUUUUCACGAGAAAACAAAGAGGAAAUGGGACGAAGGACUAAGGACGAUAGUCUUACAACGUGCUCGUAAAAGUCGUACCGAGGCCGGAAGCACUCUCCUACUCUUGACAGAUAUAUCGCCUACAUGCUCAAGUUUAAUGGCGGUUACUUAUUCACAUGGCCGAAAGAGCGUUACUUUCACGAGAAGUGUUGUAAAAAUUGCUGAAAACAUUAAUUCAAGAUUUGCAGAAGGUUGUGUAAAUGUUGAAAUGAUCCAACGUUGGUUCGUAAAAUACAAGACGAGUGAUUAUCAAUCGGAAAAUAAACCAG
rnacentral:misc_RNA from 1 species